rnacentral:rRNA from 1 species
CCUGACCUCGGAUCAGACGUGAAUACCCGCU